GACGAACGCUGGCGGCGUGCUUAACACAUGCAAGUCGAACGGAAAGGCCCUGCUCUUGUGGGGUUCUCGAGUGGCGAACGGGUGAGUAACACGCGAGUAACCUGCACUUGACUGUGGGAUAACAUCAGGAAACUGGGGCUAAUACCGGAUAGGAUCUCCUGCUGCAUGGUGGGGGUUGGUAAGAUUCGGCGGUUGGGGAUGGACUGGCGGCUUAUCAGCUUGCUGGUGGAGUAGGGGCUUACCAAGGCUUUGACGGGUAGCCGGCCUGAGAGGGUUACCGGCCACAAUGGGCCUGCGGGACGGCCCAGACUCCUACGGGAGGCAGCAGUGGGGAAUCUUGCACAGUGAGCGGGAGCCAGAUGCAGCGACGCCGCGUGCGGGAUGACGGCCUUCGAGUUGUAAACCGCUGUCGCCUGUGACGAAGCGUGAGUGACGGUAAUGGGUAAGGAAGCACCGGCUAACUACGUG
rnacentral:rRNA from 1 species